rnacentral:ncRNA from 1 species
AGUGGAGUUGUACCUGUUGGUUUGUCCCAUUAUAAGGACACUAGCUUCUUAAAUGGACAAAUUGCGUCUAGCAAUAAUGAGAUUGAGCAAUAACAGGUCUGUGAUGCCCUUAGAUGUCCUGGGCUGCACGCGCGCUACAAUGAAAGUAUCAACGUGUAUUUCCUAGACCGAGAGGUCCGGGUAAACCGCUGAACCACUUUCUUGCUUGGGAUUGUGAACUGAAACUGUUCACAUGAACCUGGAAUUCCCAGUAAGUGUGAGUCAUUAACU